GACUGAACUCUGAAUUACAGUGUGCUAUGAGUCAGAUCAACAAGCUGAAAUUUCAAAGAAGGUGUUUGUGAACCUGCUAGAUGAAUCAUCUACAUCAAGGAUCUAAAACGGUCAGGUGGCUGGUGAUUCAACAGGAUUUGGUGAAGAGGACUGGUUUGGAAAAUCUGUGUUCUUAAUCCUGUCUUCCAUCCCAGAGAAAGGGAGGGGGGAUGAUUGACCCUUCUUUCUCAAAUCUAGGGAGAAAGUUUCAUGAGGGCUGCUUGCAGAGCUUGAUAUAUGUUUCUUGUAGUCGUGGGGCAUUGUGAAUUGGUUUCUGAUUCAUGCCUGUGAAAUUUGAGACAAAAAGAUCAUGGCUGGAAGUUUCGUGUGACUAGCCCUGAGAGUACCCCAGGCCUUUGAGGACUAGACACUAGAAGACGGAUGGUUGAUGCAAAUGUCCAAGACAGAAGUGGGUUUGGCAUACCUACUGGGUUUCCUGGGCCUUCAGAGUUGUAUGGAAGAACUGAAAAAUUUCCUCAUGUUUCCCAGGACAGCUGUGGAAAUGAAGACAGAACGAGCAAGACAGCAAGAGAGAACUGUUGGGCACUGAAAUCUAGAAGUUAUGAAAAGAGGCUACCUCUGGGGACAGUUAUGUAGAUCAAAUUUAGAGAUUAAUCAUGGCUUAGGACCAGAAAGAACUCUAUGUUUCAAUUAUGAAUUAUGACCAAGUAGGCAGAAGCUAUCAGGCAGUGACCAGAUGACCCCCUCAAGUUUUCUGGGUACAAAGAAAGUGUACUUGAAAUGAAAAUUAAGAACUUGUAAAAAUUGUGUAUAUUUAACUUUUGAAUUAAUGGCCUGAAAAAAUUAUACCAUUAUGUGUGAAUAACUAAUAAAGUAGAAGUUUGAAGAUGCAAGCAUGAAAGGCAAAUAACAGAGCACAUUUCAGAGAAAACAGAGAUUAUAAUUUUAUGGAGAGGGAUAUGUAGUCUUGACCAAAAGGGAUACUUCUUUUUCAGAAACAAGAUCAAAAUUAGAUUUUUUAAAUUGAAAGUUUAAAUCAUAUAAACUUUGCCUAUUAAGUAAGGGGGAAAAAAUCCUCAUCUGUUUAUAAUUUUAAAAAAUGGGAUGCUUUUGGGAAGUUUCUUUUUUUCCUAUGGGUUUCACAUUCCUGCAAGUAGCAUCAGGUAGAUGAAUAUUUAGAACCAAUUUCAAGAAGCAAAAAUUAAGUCUUAGAGAACUAUAUUUAAUUUCAAGUACAGUAGUCUUUAGAGUAUUUGGUACAUUAAAGAACGGAAAAUGUUAGUUCCACUUACUACUUAAAUUUUAAUAGAUUUUAUUUUGAUUAUUAUUUUUUGUUUGUUUCUAAGAGUCAGCGUAACCCAAUCAUUUCACUUUUCCUCAGGAUCACCACAAAUAUCACUCUUUUUCUUUUUCAUUUUUUAGAGCUUAAUUGCUUCGUUUUGUCUGUUUUGA
rnacentral:lncRNA from 10 species